GACGAACGCUGGCGGCGUGCUUAACACAUGCAAGUCGAACGGAAAGGCCCUGCUUUUGUGGGGUGCUCGAGUGGCGAACGGGUGAGUAACACGUGAGUAACCUGCCCUUGACUUUGGGAUAACUUCAGGAAACUGGGGCUAAUACCGGAUAGGAGCUCCUGCUGCAUGGUGGGGGUUGGAAAGUUUCGGCGGUUGGGGAUGGACUCGCGGCUUAUCAGCUUGUUGGUGGGGUAGUGGCUUACCAAGGCUUUGACGGGUAGCCGGCCUGAGAGGGUGACCGGCCACAUUGGGACUGAGAUACGGCCCAGACGCCUACGGGAGGCAGCAGGGGGGAAUAUGGCACAAUGGGCGGAAGCCUGAUGCAGCAACGCCGCGUGCGGGAUGACGGCCUUCGGGUUGUAAACCGCUUUCGCCUGUGACGAAGCGUGAGUGACGGUAAUGGGUAAAGAAGCACCGGCUAACUACGUG
rnacentral:rRNA from 1 species